UACAGAGGGGGCCAGCGUUAUUCGGAAUUAUUGGGCGUAAAGGGCGCGUAGGCGGCCAUGCGUGUCUUCCGUGAAAUCCCUACGGCUUAACUGAGGACGUGCGGAAGAAACUGCAAGGGCUCGAGUCCGGGAGAGGAGGGUGGAAUUCCCAGUGUAGCGGUGAAAUGCGUAGAUAUUGGGAGGAACACCGGUGGCGAAGGCGGCCCUCUGGACCGGUACUGACGCUGAUGCGCGAAAGCGUGGGUAGCAAACGGGG
rnacentral:rRNA from 1 species